CCCUUCUCAGGGUCACACCUGGAGAGUUUUCAGUACUCUACCAGUCUCGACUAUGGGAGGGAGAGCCAAGCAGAGGCCAACUAUUCCAUGCCUAGCUUGGACAGUGGCUAGUGAGUGGAAGGCAAUCUGCUACAAGU